GACGAACGCUGGCGGCGUGCCUAACACAUGCAAGUCGAACGAAGAAUGUUUUUCGGAAUAUUCUUAGUGGCGGACGGGUGAGUAACGCGUGAACAAUCUGCCCCGUACAAAGGGAUAGCCUCGGGAAACCGGGAUUAAAACCAUAUAACACUUAACUGCCGCAUGGUAGUGAAGUCAAAUCGAUUAAGAGGUAUGGGAUGAGUUCGCGUCUGAUUAGCUAGUUGGUGAGGUAAGGGCUCACCAAGGCGACGAUCAGUAGCCGGCCUGAGAGGGUGAACGGCCACACUGGAACUGAGACACGGUCCAGACUCCUACGGGAGGCAGCAGUGGGGAAUAUUGCACAAUGGAGGGAACUCUGAUGCAGCGACGCCGCGUGAGUGAAGAAGGUCUUCGGAUCGUAAAACUCUGUCCUUGGUGAAGAAAAGGACGGUAGCCAAGGAGGAAGCCCCGGCUAACUACGUGCCAGCAGCCGACGGUAAAAGUCACGUCG
rnacentral:rRNA from 1 species